rnacentral:misc_RNA from 1 species
GGUGUUCUAUCAACAAAUUUGUAUUCUCUAAUGAUUUAAGUUUUGAUUUAUAGUUUCACAAAUUUUGUGUUGCGGAAUUCUGCUAUGUUUUGGUUUGUGCAUAAUUGUAAAGGCUAUUGUGCUAGAUAUUACACCCAAUGAAACCAAGUCUUCUGUUUGAGUUACACUUGAUGCAGUAAGGUUUAAGGUUUGAGAUUUGAAGUGGGUUCAACCAUCUAUUUGACUCAUUGCAGAUGUUUAGUUUUGUAGGAGAGCCUUUUUCUCUUCAUUGUGAAACCAUGGAAAUGUAAUAUUGUUUUUUUUUCUUUGUUUGUAAACUUGCAAACUGUUAAAGUAUCAUAUGACAG